rnacentral:rRNA from 2 species
GACAGAGGGUGCAAACGUUGUUCGGAAUUACUGGGCGUAAAGCGUGUGUAGGCUGCUACAUAAGUCGGAUGUGAAAGCCCCGGGCUCAACCCGGGAAGUGCACUCGAUACUGCGUAGCUUGAGUCUCGGAGAGGUUGGUGGAAUUCUCGGUGUAGAGGUGAAAUUCGUAGAUAUCGAGAGGAACACCGGUGGCGAAGGCGGCCAACUGGACGAAGACUGACGCUGAGACACGAAAGCGUGGGGAGCAAACAGG